UUAAAACCAUAUGAGGCUGCUGAAGUGUCUUGAUGGGUGUAUAUUGGAACUAUUAUUGGACAGAGAGCCAAUCAUCAGACAAAGGUCCGUUCAGUAGCACUUGAGAAAGCACCUGCUGUCUCCUUGCUGGCUUCAAAAUUAGCUGUGACAUCACAGUUUUUUCUGAUAGACUAAUCGGGGAAUUGCAAUAAUUGCUUUGUGUGGAUGAUCUUCGUACUCCGCGUAACUAACAUGGCCUACCUUUCACACGUUUAUAAGGCUAGGUAUGUUUUUCAGGUUAUGUACCUUUUAGCAAAGGUUCCAGCGUCCGUUACGGUACAUUGUACAGUACAGUAACUCCCCUCCCCCAAGAAACCCAGGCUGUCCAGGACUUGUGGUUUCAUUUACAAUUUAAGCAGGAUUCAGGGCGUCAAAUUUCAAACGUAAACUCUUAGGUUCCCCUGCGGACAUUGAUGCCAGUCCUGCUCCUGUAAGCACUGUGCCCCUAUGUGGCCCCCUGCCAGCACAAGGGGAGGAGCCGAGCAAAACAACAAACUCUGUUUCAUAUUCAACACUCAAGCAAACAGGAUCCAGGGGAAGAUUUUUUCCCACAGAACGGACAGGGCCUCACCACCGUGGUUCGGCCCCAUGAGAUUGGCAGCCUGGCUAAUUUAUUUCAGCCCCGUUGCACAGCAGUUAAAGUUCCCAGUUUAUGAAUCGAUAAAGAACCUCCUGUGGGUGAAAAUGAGAGUCACAAUUUUCGUAACCAAGGACAUCUGGAACGGAAACAAAGCCGGUGAAUCCCCGAAGGUCCGCCAGCACAGCGGUGGGGUUUUUUGCGGCUUGAUGGCGGUUGUGUUGUGGCACAGCAUUGUGGGAAGGUUGGCCUGCCAGCACAGUUCUGCAGGUUUGAAUCCCAUAAAGGGAAUGGCCAAGCAGUGCAAAACCAUGUGAUUUAACAGUACUACAGCCUCUGGACCGGCUGUGGGAGAGUCAAAACUCCACUGAAUCUACUGAACACUUCCGAAGUACAGGUGCAAUGUGUCAGGUAACCACUGGAGGGAAGCAAAGAUGCAUAAACCUGAAAAAAAGCCGAAUUCCCCGACUGCAAGAGUCGUCUGGCUCCUGAUGUGGUGAUAUUUUUUUCCCCAAGCACCAGCUAAAGAAACUAAAGUCCCCUUUUCAAUUUAACAAACACUGUUGUAUCUCUGUGCAGCUGUCUCUGGUAAGCUGGUGUUUUUUUAUUUAUUUGGUUGUAUGACAUCAGUAAAGUCUAAAACCCAAUCUCACUGUGACAAUACAAGACACCUGAGAAAUAGAGAGAAGCUCUGAUAGCUUUAAGAGUGACUUUUGUUGGACUUUGUUGUUGUAGCUUUGCUGUUACAGGACGUAACACACAAUAAAUGUAUUCUGGGGCUUGAAAUCAGACAAACACAUCAACAAUGUGCGUUCAAGUUGGAGAACAUCUGAUAUGUAUAUAUAUAUUAAAAUGAACCUUUCAUCUUAAACUUUGUGAUGGCAUAUCCACGGAGCUGUUGCAGUUCCUCUAUCCCUCCUCUUCUCUCGUCUUUUCCUUUCCGUUGAAGGGAUAGUUUACUUUCUGAGGUCUUAGAAAUGCGUUAUUUCUGUUCUAAUGCGUAUUUUUAACUUGGCACAGUUUUUGUGUGCGACGAUGGGCGACUUUUACGACUUUACAGAAGCGUCUAAUGACCUGCUGGCGUUACACUGGCUGGUGCAGGCCACUCGGGGGUUUGUGGUCUAAAACGAAGUACACGUGAAGUAACUCCUCAGCGGCUCGUGCUGGGAUGCUGUGUUUCCACAUUUGGCAGGAGUCGCAGUGACUAAGUAAGGCUUCUGCUGAACCUGCCAAUGUUCCACUAGGAACCGCGGCUAAGUCUGCGAGAACGGCAUCAGCAACUUGGGAGUUUUAUUUAUUUAUUUAUCUAUUUAUUACCU